rnacentral:lncRNA from 1 species
GGAUUUAUUAGAGAAUUCUCCAAAGUACUCCAUAUAUCUGUCUGUGGUUGUAUAAAAAGGGGCCAGAGUGCAAAGAUUCACACUCAGUGAACAUGUGAUUCUUUCCCCAAGCUCAUGUCUGUCCCUGAUCCUCAAACUUCAUUCCAACUUUACGGCUGUUCCAAAGGCCCGAAGUCACAAAACUGGGCCUCUUCUAAAAGCUCAUCCCACCCCCUUGCCAAGUUAUUCUGCAUGCGGGGUUGGCUCUGUCUGUUAUCCCUCAGCUCUGAAAACCCUCUGUGUUUGGGGGGGGGGGGCUGCCACUUUUAUUUUCCUGAACAUUUGCUUGAAAUAUUUUGUUAGGGCCUCAAAGACAAUACCUGUCUUUAUUUUUUAUAUAUUCUUGAUAAGUAUGAUAUAUUUAUUAAUAACCAGUGUUUCUGGAUGAGAUUUCAAAUAAAAAAGAACCUUUAAAUCCGG